CUCUUUACCAUCAGUCCGACAUUAAGCUGAGGCUGCUGGAUCUGAAGGGUCUCCUGGGUUCUCUCUCAGGACCUUCACAGAAAGACUUUCUCACCGAAGAUGAUCCUUUAAACGGGCUACUCAUCAAAAAUCAGGAAGCUGUAGUUGACGGAUAAGCAUAUCUGCUGCUAAGACCCCAUGGUGGAGCGCAGCGGAUCUUGAUGGAACAGGGAAGGAGGUCUGCCAGGGAGUCAGAGGCUACUACCCGCUGUAAAGAAUAAAGAACAAAAUAUUAAUCAGAUGAUGGCAGAUGAUCUGUAGGACAGCUGUCUACUUCAGACAUGUUCUCUUGUUCUCUUGAACACAUCAAGGCCUGGACCACAAGGUGACUGAGGACCUGAGGGAGGGCUCCAAACAUGACCCAGCAGAGGAGAGAAGGAGAGACAGAUUAAGGGAUGACCAGCCUCUGCACAAGUACUCAGAAAGAACAGAACGUUACUUGAAUUCUUUAGAGAAAGGUAAGGAGAAGAAGACACAGAAGGUCUCAGAAGGUCUCAAAUGUGCUUUACUCUUCAUCAUGUCCCUUCUGCAAAGACACAAAGACAGGGAAGGCAAGUCAUUGGUAAGAAAGGGUUAUAAGAAAAUAUAUGUAGAAAAUGUAUUAGAAGACAUCCUGAAUGUUCCUAUGUUAGGAUCAAGAAGUCAGCAAUGGGAUACAGGCUAUCCUUUAUGUUUAUUGUAAUGUGUUGGCCUGUUCCUAUGGGCUUGUCCACAAGAGUCAUCAAUUGCACUUCAUCAACUCAUCAGUUUACAACUCAUAUAAGCAGAAUGC